UUUUCCCAUCCCCCCUGUGGUGCUCUGGGGGUCCAAGCGAAGGGCGGGCAGGAUGGCUGUGCUGACCCUAACAGAGCCAGGUUCCAGGGCAGCCUCCGCACCUGGGAGCUCUGGGGGUGCUGUGAGGGGGGCAGCUAACUGCACGUCCGGCCCCCGGGAAUCCCUGCCAUCUGCCUGCCCUGCCAGUGGGCACAGGUCAGGGCACAUGGCAUCUGGCACUAGGGCAUCUCUGGGGGCAUGGCCCGUGGAGGGGUCCUAGUGGGGAGAGAGCGAUGGGGCUGGAGCAGGGUCCCUGGGGCACCCCAGAGCUCAGGGCUGGCGACUCCCUGGGGGGUUACAGGCUGCUGGGCACAGGCUGUUGGCUCGAGGGACCACGGGUGCGAGCCCAUCUGGCACCGUCUCCAUCUGUACACGCUGCAUGCGUGUGUGAAUUUACAGUGUGUUUAGAGCUGCACUGGGCCUUCGUAUUAGAGAUGCACGGCGUGUGCAGAUCUGGCGUGCGAGAGACGCUUGUGAGCACCCAGCCAGUGCAAGUGCAUCAUGCGUGUAAAGGGACACGCUCCGACAGACUGAUCGGCGGGGGGUGACGUUGCCUGCGUUAUGGGCACACCGCGUGAGCGUGGACGCUGCAGCCACGCCCUGGGUGUGCGGUCUGUGUUCUAGGGCACGCCCCCAUGUGUGUGUGUACAGCACAGGUGCAGUCCGGGGGAGUCAAUAUUACACACACGGUGUGUACGCGUACUGCGGACAAACUGUGUGUAUGUACAAUUGUACACACCGUGUGUACGCAAACUGCGGACAAGCCCUGUGUGUGUACGAUUGUACACACCGUGUGUACGCAUACUGCAGACAAGCCGUGUGUGUACGAUUGUACACACCGUGUGUACGCAUUCUGCUGACAAGCCCCGUGUGUGUACGAUUGUACACACUGUGUGUACGCAUACUGCAGACAAGCCGUGUGUGUACGAUUGUACACACCGUGUGUACGCAUACUGCAGACAAGCCGUGUGUGUACGAUUGUACACACCGUGUGUACGCAUACUGCAGACAAGCCGUGUGUGUACGACUGUACACACCGUGUGUACGCAUUCUGCAGACAAGCUGUGUGUGUACGAUUGUACACACCGUGUGUACGCAUACUGCAGACAAGCCGUGUGUGUACGAUUGUACACACUGUGUGUACGCAUUCUGCUGACAAGCCGUGUGUGUACGACUGUACACACCGUGUGUACGCAUUCUGCAGACAAGCUGUGUGUGUACGAUUGUACACACCGUGUGUACGCAUACUGCAGACAAGCCGUGUGUGUACGAUUGUACACACCGUGUGUACGCAUACUGCAGACAAGCCGUGUGUGUACGAUUGUACACACUGUGUGUACGCAUACUGCUGACAGGCCGUGUGUGUACGACUGUACACACCGUGUGUACGCAUUCUGCAGACAAGCUGUAUGUGUACGAUUGUACACACCGUGUGUACACAUACUGCAGACAAGCCGUGUGUGUACAAUUGUACACACUGUGUGUACGCAUUCUGCUGACAAGCCAUGUGUACGACUGUACACACUGUGUGUACGCAUUCUGCAGACAAGCUGUGUGUGUAUGAUUGUACACACUGUGUGUACAC